AGCACUGGUCACAGUUAACGUGGAUUAUCUUUGUUACAAAUACGUUCCAUAGACUGCAUAUUAACACGGAAAGAGAAUCACAUAUUCGAAAAUAAUGUAAUAAUGGAACAGAUUUCACCUCAUCAACUGCGGGGAUCUGACCAAAUAUGUCAUCCCUGAUGGCAGUGAGCUGAUCGAGCUGCUACACAUGCUGUGGAGCCCCAACAAACACAUGAUGGGACGAGGAUUCAUUUGCC